UGACGUAGGGUGCGAGCGUUGUCCGGAAUUAUUGGGCGUAAAGAGCUCGUAGGCGGUUUGUCGCGUCUGCUGUGAAAACCUCAGGCUCAACCUGGGGCUUGCAGUGGGUACGGGCAGACUAGAGUGCGGUAGGGGUGACUGGAAUUCCUGGUGUAGCGGUGGAAGUGCGCAGAUAUCAGGAGGAACACCCGAUGGCGAAGGCAGGUCACUGGGCCGC
rnacentral:rRNA from 1 species